rnacentral:rRNA from 1 species
CCCCGGAAGGGGAGUGAAAUAGAACCUGAAACCGUGUGCUUACAAGUAGUCAGAGCCCGUUAAUGGGUGAUGGCGUGCCUUUUGUAGAAUGAACCGGCGAGUUACGAUUUGAUGCAAGGUUAAGCAGUAAAUGUGGAGCCGUAGCGAAAGCGAGUCUGAAUAGGGCGUUUAGUAUUUGGUCGUAGACCCGAAACCAGGUGAUCUACCCUUGGUCAGGUUGAAGUUCAGGUAACACUGAAUGGAGGACCGAACCGACUUACGUUGAAAAGUGAGCGGAUGAACUGAGGGUAGCGGAGAAAUUCCAAUCGAACCUGGAGAUAGCUGGUUCUCUCCGAAAUAGCUUUAGGGCUAGCCUCAAGUGAUGAUUAUUGGAGGUAGAGCACUGUUUGGACGAGGGGCCCCUCUCGGGUUACCGAAUUCAGACAAACUCCGAAUGCCAAUUAAUUUAACUUGGGAGUCAGAACAUGGGUGAUAAGGUCCGUGUUCGAAAGGGAAACAGCCCAGACCACCAGCUAAGGUCCCAAAAUAUAUGUUAAGUGGAAAAGGAUGUGGCGUUGCCCAGACAACUAGGAUGUUGGCUUAGAAGCAGCCAUCAUUUAAAGAGUGCGUAAUAGCUCACUAGUCGAGUGACACUGCGCCGAAAAUGUACCGGGGCUAAACAUAUUACCGAAGCUGUGGAUUGUCCUUUGGACAAUGGUAGGAGAGCGUUCUAAGGGCGUUGAAGCAUGAUCGUAAGGACAUGUGGAGCGCUUAGAAGUGAGAAUGCCGGUGUGAGUAGCGAAAGACGGGUGAGAAUCCCGUCCACCGAUUGACUAAGGUUUCCAGAGGAAGGCUCGUCCGCUCUGGGUUAGUCGGGUCCUAAGCUGAGGCCGACAGGCGUAGGCGAUGGAUAACAGGUUGAUAUUCCUGUACCACCUAUAAUCGUUUUAAUCGAUGGGGGGACGCAGUAGGAUAGGCGAAGCGUGCGAUUGGAUUGCACGUCUAAGCAGUAAGGCUGAGUAUUAGGCAAAUCCGGUACUCAUUAAGGCUGAGCUGUGAUGGGGAGAAGACAUUGUGUCUUCGAGUCGUUGAUUUCACACUGCCGAGAAAAGCCUCUAGAUAGAAAAUAGGUGCCCGUACCGCAAACCGACACAGGUAGUCAAGAUGAGAAUUCUAAGGUGAGCGAGCGAACUCUCGUUAAGGAACUCGGCAAAAUGACCCCGUAACUUCGGGAGAAGGGGUGCUCUUUAGGGUUAACGCCCAGAAGAGCCGCAGUGAAUAGGCCCAAGCGACUGUUUAUCAAAAACACAGGUCUCUGCUAAACCGUAAGGUGAUGUAUAGGGGCUGACGCCUGCCCGGUGCUGGAAGGUUAAGAGGAGUGGUUAGCUUCUGCGAAGCUACGAAUCGAAGCCCCAGUAAACGGCGGCCGUAACUAUAACGGUCCUAAGGUAGCGAAAUUCCUUGUCGGGUAAGUUCCGACCCGCACGAAAGGCGUAACGAUUUGGGCACUGUCUCAACGAGAGACUCGGUGAAAUCAUAGUACCUGUGAAGAUGCAGGUUACCCGCGACAGGACGGAAAGACCCCGUGGAGCUUUACUGUAGCCUGAUAUUGAAAUUCGGCACAGCUUGUACAGGAUAGGUAGGAGCCUUUGAAACGUGAGCGCUAGCUUACGUGGAGGCGCUGGUGGGAUACUACCCU